UCCUGGUUUCCCAGGCAGUCCCGCUAGAGUGCUCGCUUUCGCGAUAGCAACUAACGGCAAGGGUUGCGCUCGUUAAAGGACUUAACCCAACAUCUCACGACACGAGCUGACGACAGCCAUGCAGCACCUGUGUAACAGCUUAUGGUUUCCCAUAAGACCCGAUGUUUCCAUCGGUAACAAUUACAUGUCAAGCCCAGGUAAGGUUCCUCGCGUAGUGUCGAAUUAAACCACAUGUUCCACCGCUUGUGCGGACCCCCGUCAAUUUCUUUGAGUUUUAAUCUUGCGACCGUACUCCCCAGGCGGAUCACUUAACGCGUUAGCUUCGACACAGAAUCUGCUUUGCAAAUCCCAUAUCCAGUGAUCAUCGUUUACAGCGUGGACUAC
rnacentral:misc_RNA from 1 species